rnacentral:rRNA from 1 species
CCUACGGGUGGCAGCAGUAGGGAAUAUUGCUCAAUGGACGUGAGUCUGAACCAGCCAAGUAGCGUGAAGGAUGACUGCCCUAUGGGUUGUAAACUUCUUUUAUAUGGGAAUAAAAUGUUCCACGUGUGGGAUUUUGUAUGUACCAUAUGAAUAAGGAUCGGCUAACUCCGUGCCAGCAGCCGCGGUAAUACGGAGGAUCCGAGCGUUAUCCGGAUUUAUUGGGUUUAAAGGGAGCGUAGGUGGAUUGUUAAGUCAGUUGUGAAAGUUUGCGGCUCAACCGUAAAAUUGCAGUUGAAACUGGCAGUCUUGAGUACAGUAGAGGUGGGCGGAAUUCGUGGUGUAGCGGUGAAAUGCUUAGAUAUCACGAAGAACUCCGAUUGCGAAGGCAGUUCACUGGACUGCAACUGACACUGAGGCUCGAAAGUGUGGGUAUCAAACAGGAUUAGAUACCCCUGUAGUC